UCAGAAAUGGCUUUCACCAACCAGAGA
rnacentral:sRNA from 1 species